rnacentral:rRNA from 1 species
UGNNNUCGNACGGUAACAGGAGAAAGCUUGCUUUCUUGCUGACGAGUGGCGGACGGGUGAGUAAUGCUUGGGAAUCUGGCUUACGGNGGGGGAUAACUGCGGGAAACUGCAGCUAAUACCGCGUAAUAUCUUAGGAUUAAAGGGGGCGUUUGCUCCUGCCGUGAGAUGAGCCCAAGUGGGAUUAGGUAGUUGGUGAGGUAAUGGCUCACCAAGCCUGCGAUCUCUAGCUGGUCUGAGAGGAUGGCCAGCCACACCGGGACUGAGACACGGCCCGGACUCCUACGGGAGGCAGCAGUGGGGAAUAUUGCGCAAUGGGGGGAACCCUGACGCAGCCAUGCCGCGUGAAUGAAGAAGGCCUUCGGGUUGUAAAGUUCUUUCGGUGACGAGGAAGGUGUAAUGGUUAAUACCCAUUAUAAUUGACGUUAAUCACAGAAGAAGCACCGGCUAACUCCGUGCCAGCAGCCGCGGUAAUACGGAGGGUGCGAGCGUUAAUCGGAAUAACUGGGCGUAAAGGGCACGCAGGCGGAUUUUUAAGUGAGGUGUGAAAGCCCCGGGCUUAACCUGGGAAUUGCAUUUCAGACUGGGAAUCUAGAGUACUUUAGGGAGGGGUAGAAUUCCACGUGUAGCGGUGAAAUGCGUAGAGAUGUGGAGGAAUACCGAAGGCGAAGGCAGCCCCUUGGGAAUGUACUGACGCUCAUGUGCGAAAGCGUGNGGAGCAAACAGGAUUAGAUACCCUGGUAGUCCACGCUGUAAACGCUGUCGAUUUGGGGGGUUGGGCUUUAAGCUNGGCGCCCGUAGCUAACGUGAUAAAUCGACCGCCUGGGGAGUACGGCCGCAAGG